rnacentral:rRNA from 1 species
UACGGAGGAUGCGAGCGUUAUCCGGAUUUAUUGGGUUUAAAGGGAGCGCAGACGGGUCGUUAAGUCAGCUGUGAAAGUUUGGGGCUCAACCUUAAAAUUGCAGUUGAUACUGGCGUCCUUGAGUGCGGUUGAGGUGUGCGGAAUUCGUGGUGUAGCGGUGAAAUGCUUAGAUAUCACGAAGAACUCCGAUUGCGAAGGCAGCACACUAAUCCGUAACUGACGUUCAUGCUCGAAAGUGUGGGUAUCAAACAGGAUUAGAUACCCCAGCGGCUGACUGACU